rnacentral:rRNA from 1 species
GGGUUGUGAGGUUAAGCGACUAAGCGUACACGGUGGAUGCCCUGGCAGUCAGAGGCGAUGAAGGACGUGCUAAUCUGCGAUAAGCGUCGGUAAGGUGAUAUGAACCGUUAUAACCGGCGAUUUCCGAAUGGGGAAACCCAGUGUGAUUCGUCACACUAUCAUUAACUGAAUCCAUAGGUUAAUGAGGCGAACCGGGGGAACUGAAACAUCUAAGUACCCCGAGGAAAAGAAAUCAACCGAGAUUCCCCCAGUAGCGGCGAGCGAACGGGGAGGAGCCCAGAGCCUGAAUCAGUGUGUGUGUUAGUGGAAGCGUCUGGAAAGGCGCGCGAUACAGGGUGACAGCCCCGUACACAAAAAUGCACAUACUGUGAGCUCGAUGAGUAGGGCGGGACACGUGGUAUCCUGUCUGAAUAUGGGGGGACCAUCCUCCAAGGCUAAAUACUCCUGACUGACCGAUAGUGAACCAGUACCGUGAGGGAAAGGCGAAAAGAACCCCGGCGAGGGGAGUGAAAAAGAACCUGAAACCGUGUACGUACAAGCAGUGGGAGCCUCUUUAUGGGGUGACUGCGUACCUUUUGUAUAAUGGGUCAGCGACUUAUAUUCUGUAGCAAGGUUAACCGAAUAGGGGAGCCGAAGGGAAACCGAGUCUUAACUGGGCGUUAAGUUGCAGGGUAUAGACCCGAAACCCGGUGAUCUAGCCAUGGGCAGGUUGAAGGUUGGGUAACACUAACUGGAGGACCGAACCGACUAAUGUUGAAAAAUUAGCGGAUGACUUGUGGCUGGGGGUGAAAGGCCAAUCAAACCGGGAGAUAGCUGGUUCUCCCCGAAAGCUAUUUAGGUAGCGCCUCGUGAAUUCAUCUCCGGGGGUAGAGCACUGUUUCGGCAAGGGGGUCAUCCCGACUUACCAACCCGAUGCAAACUGCGAAUACCGGAGAAUGUUAUCACGGGAGACACACGGCGGGUGCUAACGUCCGUCGUGAAGAGGGAAACAACCCAGACCGCCAGCUAAGGUCCCAAAGUCAUGGUUAAGUGGGAAACGAUGUGGGAAGGCCCAGACAGCCAGGAUGUUGGCUUAGAAGCAGCCAUCAUUUAAAGAAAGCGUAAUAGCUCACUGGUCGAGUCGGCCUGCGCGGAAGAUGUAACGGGGCUAAACCAUGCACCGAAGCUGCGGCAGCGACACUAUGUGUUGUUGGGUAGGGGAGCGUUCUGUAAGCCUGUGAAGGUGUACUGUGAGGUAUGCUGGAGGUAUCAGAAGUGCGAAUGCUGACAUAAGUAACGAUAAAGCGGGUGAAAAGCCCGCUCGCCGGAAGACCAAGGGUUCCUGUCCAACGUUAAUCGGGGCAGGGUGAGUCGACCCCUAAGGCGAGGCCGAAAGGCGUAGUCGAUGGGAAACAGGUUAAUAUUCCUGUACUUGGUGUUACUGCGAAGGGGGGACGGAGAAGGCUAUGUUGGCCGGGCGACGGUUGUCCCGGUUUAAGCGUGUAGGCUGGUUUUCCAGGCAAAUCCGGAAAAUCAAGGCUGAGGCGUGAUGACGAGGCACUACGGUGCUGAAGCAACAAAUGCCCUGCUUCCAGGAAAAGCCUCUAAGCAUCAGGUAACAUCAAAUCGUACCCCAAACCGACACAGGUGGUCAGGUAGAGAAUACCAAGGCGCUUGAGAGAACUCGGGUGAAGGAACUAGGCAAAAUGGUGCCGUAACUUCGGGAGAAGGCACGCUGAUAUGUAGGUGAAGCGACUUGCUCGUGGAGCUGAAAUCAGUCGAAGAUACCAGCUGGCUGCAACUGUUUAUUAAAAACACAGCACUGUGCAAACACGAAAGUGGACGUAUACGGUGUGACGCCUGCCCGGUGCCGGAAGGUUAAUUGAUGGGGUUAGCGGUAACGCGAAGCUCUUGAUCGAAGCCCCGGUAAACGGCGGCCGUAACUAUAACGGUCCUAAGGUAGCGAAAUUCCUUGUCGGGUAAGUUCCGACCUGCACGAAUGGCGUAAUGAUGGCCAGGCUGUCUCCACCCGAGACUCAGUGAAAUUGAACUCGCUGUGAAGAUGCAGUGUACCCGCGGCAAGACGGAAAGACCCCGUGAACCUUUACUAUAGCUUGACACUGAACAUUGAGCCUUGAUGUGUAGGAUAGGUGGGAGGCUUUGAAGUGUGGACGCCAGUCUGCAUGGAGCCGGCCUUGAAAUACCACCCUUUAAUGUUUGAUGUUCUAACGUUGGCCCCUGACCGGGGUUGCGGACAGUGUCUGGUGGGUAGUUUGACUGGGGCGGUCUCCUCCUAAAGAGUAACGGAGGAGCACGAAGGUUGGCUAAUCCUGGUCGGACAUCAGGAGGUUAGUGCAAUGGCAUAAGCCAGCUUGACUGCGAGCGUGACGGCGCGAGCAGGUGCGAAAGCAGGUCAUAGUGAUCCGGUGGUUCUGAAUGGAAGGGCCAUCGCUCAACGGAUAAAAGGUACUCCGGGGAUAACAGGCUGAUACCGCCCAAGAGUUCAUAUCGACGGCGGUGUUUGGCACCUCGAUGUCGGCUCAUCACAUCCUGGGGCUGAAGUAGGUCCCAAGGGUAUGGCUGUUCGCCAUUUAAAGUGGUACGCGAGCUGGGUUUAGAACGUCGUGAGACAGUUCGGUCCCUAUCUGCCGUGGGCGCUGGAGAACUGAGGGGGGCUGCUCCUAGUACGAGAGGACCGGAGUGGACGCAUCACUGGUGUUCGGGUUGUCAUGCCAAUGGCACUGCCCGGUAGCUAAAUGCGGAAGAGAUAAGUGCUGAAAGCAUCUAAGCACGAAACUUGCCCCGAGAUGAGUUCUCCCUGACUCCUUGAGAGUCCUGAAGGAACGUUGAAGACGACGACGUUGAUAGGCCGGGUGUGUAAGCGCAGCGAUGCGUUGAGCUAACCGGUACUAAUGAACCGUGAGGCUUAACCUUACAACGCCGAAG